rnacentral:rRNA from 1 species
UACGUAGGGGGCAAGCGUUGUCCGGAAUCAUUGGGCGUAAAGAGCGUGUAGGCGGCCCGAUAAGUCCGCUGUGAAAGUCCAGGGCUCAACCCUGGAAUGCCGGUGGAUACUGUCGGGCUCGAAUCCGGAAGAGGUGAGUGGAAUUCCUGGUGUAGCGGUGAAAUGCGCAGAUAUCAGGAGGAACACCAAUGGCGAAGGCAGCUCACUGGGACGGUAUUGACGCUGAGACGCGAAAGCGUGAGGAGCAAACAGG